rnacentral:rRNA from 1 species
AGCGAACGCUGGCGGCAGGCUUAACACAUGCAAGUCGAACGCCCCGCAAGGGGAGUGGCAGACGGGUGAGUAACACGUGGGAACGUACCCUUUGGUUCGGAAUAACUUGGGGAAACUAAAGCUAAUACCGGAUAAGCCCUUAUGGGGAAAGGUUUACUGCCGAAGGAUCGGCCCGCGUCUGAUUAGCGAGUUGGUGAGGUAAUGGCUCACCAAGGCGACGAUCAGUAGCUGGUCUGAGAGGAUGAUCAGCCACUGGGACUGAGACACGGCCCAGACUCCUACGGGAGGCAGCAGUGGGGAAUAUUGGACAAUGGGGGCAACCCUGAUCCAGCCAUGCCGCGUGAGUGAUGAAGGCCUUAGGGUUGUAAAGCUCUUUUACCCGGGACGAUAAUGACUGUACCGGGAGAAUAAGCCCCGGCUAACUUCGUGCCAGCCGCCGCCGUAA